rnacentral:rRNA from 1 species
GACGAACGCUGGCGGCGUGCUUAACACAUGCAAGUCGAACGGAAAGGCUCCAGCUUGCUGGAGUACUCGAGUGGCGAACGGGUGAGUAACACGUGGGUAAUCUGCCCUGCACUCUGGGAUAAGCCUGGGAAACUGGGUCUAAUACUGGAUAUGACCUUUCUCCUUAUGGGGUUUGGUGGAAAGUUUUUCGGUGUAGGAUGAGCCCGCGGCCUAUCAGCUUGUUGGUGGGGUGAUGGCCUACCAAGGCGACGACGGGUAGCCGGCCUGAGAGGGUGAUCGGCCACAUUGGGACUGAGAUACGGCCCAGACUCCUACGGGAGGCAGCAGUGGGGAAUAUUGCACAAUGGGCGGAAGCCUGAUGCAGCGACGCCGCGUGUGGGAUGACGGCCUUCGGGUUGUAAACCUCUUUCAGCAGGGACGAAGCGUAAGUGACGGUACCUGCAGAAGAAGCACCGGCUAACUAUGUG